UGGAGAAUUGGGUGGGGUUUUGCGCAUGUGCAAAAGUUGUUGGGAAAGUGGAGGGGGAGGGUUGAGGGGAGAGAUAUUGACAGUAGUAGCCGCCCGCGUUCCCGGCAUGCCCCGGGGCGGCGGGGUUGGCUCUAACGAAUUUGAAUGAGGAGCCCCUGCGCUUUCGGCGCCAUUUUCGAGUGAUGCCUGAUCGCAUCAAUUUAGCGAGAGAGGCUGGUCACCCUAGUUCGGCUGGAGAACCCUAUGAGAAACCUGCCGAAAAAUAACCAAAAAAUCUUUAAAAAAUUCCUAUAGAUGGAGGCUGUUCGAGGAGCUUCUUUGGGGCUAGCGCCAUCGGUUUUGACCUUACUUAGAGGAGAACUGAUUCUGGAGAACAACUUAACUUCUGUGAUUGAAAAUCCCUAUAUUCUACCUGAAAAGAGAUAAGAAAAUUAAGGUUCUAACAAGUUAAGAUAGGCUGUACUGGUAUUAUGUGAUAACAAUUUGUUAGCUUCAUUUGAAGAAGCAUUCUUGACACAUCCCCUGAAGAAUGGAAAAAUGGGCUGGAGAAUGAUUAUUAAGAGAAGGUUGUAUGACUGGUUAUUCAAAGAAAGAAAAGGACUUUACCGUUCUGAAUACAUGCCACCACUAUUCAUGGGUGGGAAAGACUUGGUAGGAGUUUUUUAUCCAGUGUGUAAUGCUUGGUCAUUAGCAUCACCAGAACAUCAG
rnacentral:lncRNA from 1 species